rnacentral:piRNA from 1 species
UCUUUGGAAUCAAUCUCCCUAGGUGUUCUC